UGAGGAAUAUUGGUCAAUGGAGGCAACUCUGAACCAGCCAUCCCGCGUGAAGGAUUGAAGGCGCUCGACGUCGUAAACUUCUUUUAUAUAGGAAUAAACCUGAGUACGUGUACUCAGCUGAAGGUACUAUAUGAAUAAGCAUCGGCUAACUCCGUGCCAGCAGCCGCGGUAAUACGGAGGAUGCAAGCGUUAUCCGGAUUUAUUGGGUUUAAAGGGUCCGCAGGCGGAUCAAUAAGUCAGUGGUGAAAGCCCAUAGCUCAACUAUGGAACUGCCAUUGAAACUGUUGAUCUUGAGUCUAGUUGACGUAGGCGGAAUGUGACAUGUAGCGGUGAAAUGCAUAGAUAUGUCACAGAACACCAAUUGCGAAGGCAGCUUACGAAACUAGACUGACGCUCAUGGACGAAAGCGUGGGUAGCGAACAGGAUUAGAUACCCUGGUAGUCCACGCCGUAAACGAUGAUCACUCGAUGUCGGCGAUAUACUGUCGGUGUCCAAGCGAAAGUAUUAAGUGAUCCACCUGGGGAGUACGUUCGCAAGAAUG
rnacentral:rRNA from 1 species